rnacentral:rRNA from 1 species
ACUUUGUGCUGGCUGGCAACUGAUCAUGUAACACGGUCUCCGUUGGCGAUCGAGAAGUAGAACUCGUAACAAAGGUCUUGGGAAGUAAAAAAGCGUAACAAGGUUUCCGUAGGUGAACCUGCGGAAGGAUCAUUACCGAGUUUUCGGGCUUCGGCUCGACUCUCCCACCCUUUGUGAACGUACCUCUGUUGCUUUGGCGGCUCCGGCCGCCAAAGGACCUCCAAACUCCAGUCAGUAAACGCAGACGUCUGAUAAACAAGUUAAUAAACUAAAACUUUCAACAACGGAUCUCUUGGUUCUGGCAUCGAUGAAGAACGCAGCGAAAUGCGAUAAGUAAUGUGAAUUGCAGAAUUCAGUGAAUCAUCGAAUCUUUGAACGCACAUUGCGCCCCUUGGUAUUCCGGGGGGCAUGCCUGUUCGAGCGUCAUUACAACCCUCAAGCUCUGCUUGGAAUUGGGCACCGUCCUCACUGCGGACGCGCCUCAAAGACCUCGGCGGUGGCUGUUCAGCCCUCAAGCGUAGUAGAAUACACCUCGCUUUGGAGUGGUUGGCGUCGCCCGCCGGACGAACCUUCUGAACUUUUCUCAAGGUUGACCUCGGAUCAGGUAGG